AGAGUUUGAUCCUGGCUCAGAAUCAACGCUGGCGGCGUGCCUAACACAUGCAAGUCGAACGCGAAAGCCCCGCAAGGGGUAAGUAGAGUGGCAAACGGGUGAGUAACACGUGGGUGACCUGCCUUCGAGUGGGGGAUAACGUCCCGAAAGGGACGCUAAUACCGCAUGACAUCCUGCUUUUGGAAAAGCGGAGAUCAAAGCUGGGGAUCGUAAGACCUGGCGCUUGAAGAGGGGCCCGCGCCUGAUUAGCUAGUUGGUGGGGUAACGGCCUACCAAGGCGACGAUCAGUAUCCGGCCUGAGAGGGCGGACGGACACACUGGGACUGAGACACGGCCCAGACUCCUACGGGAGGCAGCAGUGGGGAAUUGUUCGCAAUGGGCGCAAGCCUGACGACGCAACGCCGCGUGGAGGACGAAGAUCUUCGGGUCGUAAACUCCUGUCGAGUGGGAAGAACGCUUCGGGGGCGAAUAUCCUCCGGAAUUGACGGUACCACUAAAGGAAGCCCCGGCUAACUCCGUGCCAGCAGCCGCGGUAAUAC
rnacentral:rRNA from 1 species